rnacentral:rRNA from 1 species
GAUGAACGCUGGCGGCGUGCCUAAUACAUGCAAGUCGAGCGAACAGACGAGGAGCUUGCUCGUCUGACGUUAGCGGCGGACGGGUGAGUAACACGUGGAUAACCUACCUAUAAGACUGGGAUAACUUCGGGAAACCGGAGCUAAUACCGGAUAAUAUAUUGAACCGCAUGGUUCAAUAGUGAAAGACGGUUUUGCUGUCACUUAUAGAUGGAUCCGCGCCGCAUUAGCUAGUUGGUAAGGUAACGGCUUACCAAGGCAACGAUGCGUAGCCGAACUGAGAGGGUGAUCGGCCACACUGGAACUGAGACACGGUCCAGACUCCUACGGGAGGCAGCAGUAGGGAAUCUUCCGCAAUGGGCGAAAGCCUGACGGAGCAACGCCGCGUGAGUGAUGAAGGUCUUCGGAUCGUAAAACUCUGUUAUUAGGGAAGAACAAAUGUGUAAGUAACUAUGCACGUCUUGACGGUACCUAAUCAGAAAGCCACGGCUAACUACGUG